GAUGAACGCUGGCGGCGUGCCUAAUACAUGCAAGUCGAGCGAACAGAUGAGGAGCUUGCUCCUCUGACGUCAGCGGCGGACGGGUGAGUAACACGUGGAUAACCUACCUAUAAGACUGGGAUAACUUCGGGAAACCGGAGCUAAUACCGGAUAAUAUAUUGAACCGCAUGGUUCAAUAGUGAAAGACGGUUUUGCUGUCACUUAUAGAUGGAUCCGCGCCGCAUUAGCUAGUUGGUAAGGUAACGGCUUACCAAGGCAACGAUGCGUAGCCGACCUGAGAGGGUGAUCGGCCACACUGGAACUGAGACACGGUCCAGACUCCUACGUGAGGCAGCAGUAGGGAAUCUUCCGCAAUGGGCGAAAGCCUGACGGAGCAACGCCGCGUGAGUGAUGAAGGUCUUCGGAUCGUAAAACUCUGUUAUUAGGGAAGAACAAAUGUGUAAGUAACUAUGCACGUCUUGACGGUACCUAAUCAGAAAGCCACGGCUAACUACGUG
rnacentral:rRNA from 1 species